AUGAACGCUGGCGGCGUGCCUAAUACAUGCAGGUCGAGCGAACGGACGAGAAGCUUGCUUCUCUGAUGUUAGCGGCGGACGGGUGAGUAACACGUGGACAACCUACCUAUAAGACUGGGAUAACUUCGGGAAACCGGAGCUAAUACCGGAUAAUAUUUUGAACCGCAUGGUUCAAAAGUGAAAGACGGUCUUGCUGUCACUUAUAGAUGGAUCCGCGCUGCAUUAGCUAGUUGGUAAGGUAACGGCUUACCAAGGCAACGAUGCAUAGCCGACCUGAGAGGGUGAUCGGCCACACUGGAACUGAGACACGGUCCAGACUCCUACGGGAGGCAGCAGUAGGGAAUCUUCCGCAAUGGGCGAAAGCCUGACGGAGCAACGCCGCGUGAGUGAUGAAGGUCUUCGGAUCGUAAAACUCUGUUAUUAGGGAAGAACAUAUGUGUAAGUAACUGUGCACAUCUUGACGGUACCUAAUCAGAAAGCCACGGCUAACUACGUG
rnacentral:rRNA from 1 species